GGGUCUGGGGUGGCUGUGGCGGCGGCGGGCCCGGGCUGAGGGCGGGGACUUUCACAGAGCGGGAACAGGCGCGGAGCGGGGGUCUCCCCGGGGACCUCGGUGCGGGCGCGGUCGCGGAGUCGGUGGCACGCGGCUGGCCCUGUAGGUCUGGGGCUCUGGCCCGCGUUCAGGGGUGCCGCCCCCGGAGGGCGAGGCCCGGGUAAGCCCGAGCCGGGGCUUCUCCCCAGCUCUGCGGGCGCCGUCCGGUCGCCUGCACCCGCGGGACGGCGGCGGGCGGCGGUGGGAUCGGCGGCGCUGGCACGGGAAGACGUCGGGGCGGGCGGCGGCUGGAACCCUCCCUGGCCCCGCCCUCGGGCGCAGUGCCCAGCGACCGGCACAGGUGUGUGGGCCGGCAGCUCACUGGGCGAUCAUGGCCACUGACACGGCACCAAGUCAGCAAGUGACAUGAUGGCUGACAAUGACAAGGACUCAGACCGCAAGAUCUGUGGGUGGCCACAGGCUGGAAGAGAUGCUUAAAAUGUACCAUCUUAUCAAAUAAGCAAAGGACGGUCGUGUGUGGCGUGUGACAACCUGUGACAUCUCAGAAGUAACUGUCUCCAAGAGGGUACGAAGGAUGCUCCCAUGGGCAUCGGAAAGAAGUGGCCAUAGGAAUCGAGUCUGACAGGAGGGCCCAGGCUCGGGGGAUGCGGUGUCCAGCCUCAAGACUGAGACCAUCUGCACCUUACAGCUGCGGAAACGGAGGGCCAGCAAAGACCUGUGAUGUGCCCGCAAUGGCACCGCUAGGAAGGGGCAGGCUGCCUCUGGAAUCCGUGCUUCAAACCUGGCCCUCAUCUGCCCCUCCCCAGGGCCGCACCUCUCCACUGCACUCUCCCUGUCACUCUGUCCUCUGUUUCCCUAUUUCCAGCCCUUCCCCCAGCGGCAGUGAGUCACUGUGGCCCUGGCCUGGCCCACAUCAUCUGCCGGGAAGCUUUCCAGACCGUUCUAGUCCUCAGCCUGGGCUCCUUCUACUCUGGGACUGUUCUCUGUUCUCGGGGGCAGGGGCCUGGUCUCAUUUGCCACAACACACAGGCUCCUCAGGCCUCCCCUGCCAGUCCACAGACACACAUUCCUCCCCUCACCGGGGCUCACCAGAGCCACAGCCACACAGAGGGAUGUCUCCCAGGCGGCUUCUCCCACCUUGCAGGACGAAGCGAUGAGGAGCCCACGGGCCGGCCUGGCACCAUGGAAACAGCCCUGGAGAGGCUGGAACUAGGAAACCACCUCUGCCCUUUCUCACUGCGUGACCUCAGGAAGCUCCCGCCCUUCUCUGGGCUCCAGUUGGACUAGAAACUGGGAUAAACAUCCCCGGGCGACCUCCCUGGGCCUCUGGACAAGGUCAGCUAAGGUAGUGAAUGCUCAGUGCUUUGGAAUCCAAAAAAAGCUUGACAAACAAUUUUGUGGACAGAGCACCGUUCCAGAGCCUGUGUUAAAAGGCAGUGCCUCCAGGCUGUGAAUGCGCGCAGGGGCGGCAGCAGAGCGCUGAGACUCGGCCGCAGAUCAGACCUCACUCCGUGGACUCUGCGGCUGUGCUAACAGCAGAGUGCUUUCCAGGAUGCAAAGAUGCUAGGAAUAAACGUGCAUGGUACUGGGGAGUGAGCCCUAGCCCUCCAAA